AAAGAGGUAUGCUCUUUCGUUUGGAAUGGAGAGAUGAUCGAAAAUCGGCUAGGAAAUAUCACUUUUUUUCAAUUUAUAAUUGAAAAAGCGUAAAAAUUCGCUAUCGAACGACACUCAAAUUUCGUCUAUAUUCUUCAUAAAAUUUUAACUAUUUAGAAAAGAUCUCUAAAGAAUAUGCCAUUAUAUAGAAAAAAGUAUGCUCUUUCGUUUGAAAUAGUCAGAUUUUCGAAAAUCAGCUUAGAAAUAUCACUUUUUUUCAAUUUAUAAUUGAAAUAACCAUGAAAAUUCGCUAUCGAACGAUACUCAAAUUUUGUCUAUAUUCUUCAUAAAAUUUUAACUAUUUAGAAAAGAUCACUAAAGAAUAUGCCAUUAUAUAGAAAAAAGUAUGCUCUUUCGUUUGGAAUAGUCAGAUUUUCGAAAAUCAGCUUAGAAAUAUCACUUUUUUCCAAAUUAAAAUUGAAAAAACCAUGAAAAUUCGCUAUUGAACGAUACUCAAAUUUUGUCUAUAUUCUUCAUAAAAUUUUAAGUAUUUAGAAAAGAUCUCUAAAGAAUAUGCCAUUAUAUAGAAAAAAGUAUGCUCUUUCGUUUGGAAUAGUGAGAUUUUCUAAAAUCAGCUUA
rnacentral:lncRNA from 1 species